AUAUAACCUCAUGGCUGUGCCCAGCUUAUAUGUCACAAUCACCCCAGUGGGCAGGGCCCAGGCAUGAGAUCAGAGUCACAACAUGUAGGUGCUGGGCCAAGUGAUAUGUCACAAUGCCCACUGUAGACAGGUUCCAGGAAGAAAAGGAGCAUCACAUCAUCUAGGUGAUAAACCCUGAGAUAUCUCACAAUGACCCCUUUGUGCAGAGAUCACAAAGAAGAAUCAUAUAACCUGUGUGCUGGAUCCAGUGGUAUGAAAGUCAACACCUGUAUUUUGGGUCUAAGUACAUGAGACACAAUGGUGGACAAUCUAUACUGAGAGCCUCAAUUCUUCCUGUAGACAGUGUCUCCUCAGUGGAGUAAAAGCCUCACGGUGUGUUGAAUCUUGGUCUGAGAGUCGCCAACCCACUGGUGGACCGGAUCCACUUACAAGAGUCAAUGUUCAAACUUUCAACUGUCUCCAGCUGUGAGAUUCAGAACCUCAACAGUCACUUUACAACCUUGGAGAGGUCAUUUGACACCUCUGUGCCUCAGUUUCUUCAUCUGCAAAAUGGAGAUGGUGUCCCGGACUUUGCAGCACUAUUUUGAAGGUCAGAGAUAAUGGGUAUCAGCACUGCGCCUGGGACAUGGUAGGAACUAAGUGUGACACUCUAGGCCUCUCCCCAGUCCUCAGGAGCCUCAUCUACUGCUGCAUAUUAAGAUUCCCCACCCACGGCCGGGUGUGGUGGCUCACACCUGUAAUCCCAGCGCUUUGGGAGGCCAAGGUGGGAGGAUCACCGGAGGUCAGGAGUUCGAGAUCAGCCUGGCCAACAUGGUGAAACCCCAUCUCUACUAAAAAUACAAAAAUUAGCCGGGCGUGCUAGCACAUGCCUGUAAUCCCAGCUACUCAGGAGACUGAGGCAGGAGAAUCGCUUGAACCCAGGAGGCGAAGGUUGCAGUGAGCUGAGAUCACGCCAUCGCACACCAGCCUGGGGGACAAGAGCAAGACUUUGUCUCAAACAAUAAUAAUAAUAAUGAUUGCCCACCCUGAUGCCUUAUGGGAAGCUGAGAGGGAGGAGAAUGAAUACUUGUUGGGUGGACCAGGCCUGCCAGAAUCAGGGUUUGCUGGCUAUGCUCUGCCUUACUUCACGUGGUCACAAUCCCAUGAGAUCCACGCUGUUAACUCCACUGGACAAAGAAGACACUGGGACCUAGGGCAAACAGAACAUUGAAACAGAGCAUUCAAAUGUCUGAAACUGAAACUAACAACAUGGAGCAAAACUUUGUGCAAAAAGAUGUUCACCAUGCCCUUGUUUAUAAGGGUUAUCAUUUGAAAAAUGCUCAAGUGUCCAAUUAUAAAGAAAUGGGGAUGCAGGUUAUGAAGAUGAGAGCGUGAGACAGCGAGCUGUAAGGGAAGCAGGUUACCCAGGGAUGGACAGAGGAUGGGCCCUGGCCCUCAUGUUAUGAAGCUUCUCCACGUGGUGCCUUCCUCUGUCAAAUGGGCAGAAGAAUAUCCUUUUGAUAGAAUUAAAAUAUACGAAAACCAUUUAUUCUCCUGUUACAAUGAUUUUUAUUUCCACAGCAACACUUAGUACCUGCCCCCCCCUCCAGCUUGCCCUGCCCACCAACCAGGAGCGGGGCCAGCCUGGAUCUCUUCUCUGCCGCUGGCGUAGGGGCGGGGGCGGGGGACAGUGUCUUCAGCAAAAGUCUGCGGAUAGAAAGGCCCCGCUCCUGUCCGGACAGCAGGAAUGGGAGAGCCGCCUCCAACCCCAGCCCCAUGGAGCAGGGCAGAAACGCUGCCCACUGCCCUGCUCCUGCCACCAGGAAGGGCGUGUGGGGGGCCACUUUCUGUAAAGAAGAAACCGCCUGAACAACAAGUGGCUCAAGGCACCCUUGUCUAACGACCAGGGACACUGAGCGCCAGGGCCCAAGUCACCAGCAAGAGAAAACCCAGGCGGAGCCCAGGGUGUCCCCCACUGCCCACCAGCCACUGCGGUCAACGUGAAGGGCAAGGGUGCAAGCGGGAUCGCGUCACAGGGAGCCGAGUGAGCCCAGAAAGUAGGAGAAGGACGUUUCCACCCACCUGGAGCGCAGUCCGUUUGCAGCCGGCGGCAGAAUGCUGCUGUCUCCAUCAAUAAAGUCCAUGUUAGCCACCUAGAGGAUAAAAUACCACGAGGAGGAGUAGCAAGGUGCCCCUGUUGACAGAUCUUGAAGCACAAGCUCACUCCCAGAAGCACAGCUGCCUAGUCAACAAACAGCUGACAAUACAUGUCUGAAGGAGCUCAGCUGGGAACAGAAGAAUGGCCCCACUGAGCCUAGCCUAAAUGGCGGACCAUCUCAAUUAUGAGCUAAUAAGUUUUGGAUGAUUUGUUAUGCUGCCAUACCUAACUAAUACAUGCACCCAGUGCAGAUUGGGUGUCAAGAUUUAAAGACAGUUUGAUUAUUAGUCACCUUCUAACAAUGGGCACCCUAAAGGUACUGACAUUUUUCCCGAUUUAAAGUUAAAUGUCUUGUAAGGCAAUGUUGACUGAUGCAGGAAUACUUGUAGACAUGUAUGCAUGUGAUUGGUGCUUAUAUGCACACAGUCCCCCACACCACAGGAAAAAACCGAUGACCAGAGCCUGACCAUUAUGGCCAAGGCCAAAUAGCCAAAGUUUGCCUUUAAUCUAUUUUCUUCAUAUCUAAAAAUUGGAGGUCAAUACUGUGGACAGGUCUGAAGACAUAGAGUUUUGUUCUCCUGUGGCCCCAUCAUUCUUCAGUGGUCUACCUGUGGUUAUUUUAUUCUUGUUACCUUCUGCUCUUUCUAUGACCACUAUCUGUUCCACCCUUGAAACUGAAGACAGAUGUUAGUAGAAAGAGGCUGUUCCCUCAUGUCGGGCAUGUGGGAUACGAUGAGGUUUCUCUUCAAAUAGCCUGAUCAAUCUUUUAUUCUUUAAUUCAUAGUACCCACACACACACCCCUUUUUUUCCUUUUUCUCCUUUUUCCUUUCUGCCUUUGUUAGAUGCCCAGGCACGCCACAGUACCAGGCAUUAUCAGUACCAGCUCACAUUUCUUCCCUUAUUUGGAAAGAGGACUAACUUUCUAGCUCAAUGCAGACACCCCUUCCCCUUCCUCUCUGCAUUCUUUUGCAUGCCCACCUUAUCUAAAAAAAUCAAAUGUUUAGCCAACCAGGAUUAGUUCAGAUUGUACGACCCGACCCUGGCCAAUGGGGAAAGGGUACAGGGGCAGGACUUGUGUCAGGAAUAAAGGCUCUUGUGCCCCUUUGUUCAGGUGUGCUCUCAUGGUGACUGGACAAGAACGCACCCCUCUGUGCAGAACUAAAAUUGCUUUGCUAGGAAUCCUUUGUUCGAGUGUUCAAUUUCCUUAUGAUUUUGAGCGUUAUUCCUAACAGGAAGAAAAGGGAUAUUCAGGCCUUUCACAGACCUGACAACAGAGCUGCACUUCAAUGUGACAGGUAUUGACCAUGUGUGACUCCUGGGAGCCUGGAAUGUGGCUGGUCUGAGCUGCAAUUUGCAAGAAAGGUAAAAUGCAGAGUUAGUUUCAAAGAUUUAGUUCCAUAAAUAUAAAAAUAUACAACAUAUAGAUAAAAAUAUCUAUAUAUAAUAUGGAUAAAAAUACAUAGCAUAAUGCAAUAUAUAGAUACAUAAUUAUGUUAUAUAUAAAUAUAUAUCUCAUUCAUAAUUAUACAUUGCUCACAUAUUAAAAUAAUAUUUUGGAUAUAUUGCUUUAAUUAAAUUGUUACAACAGACGGA